UGACCUACGGGAGGCAGCAGUGGGGAAUAUUGCACAAUGGGGGAAACCCUGAUGCAGCAACGCCGCGUGAAGGAAGACGGUUUUCGGAUUGUAAACUUCUGUUCUUAGUGAAGAAGAAUGACGGUAGCUAAGGAGCAAGCCACGGCUAACUACGUGCCAGCAGCCGCGGUAAUACGUAGGUGGCAAGCGUUGUCCGGAAUUACUGGGUGUAAAGGGAGCGCAGGCGGGAAGCCAAGUGAGAUGUGAAAAAUAAGGGCUUAAAUUGUAG
rnacentral:rRNA from 1 species